rnacentral:snoRNA from 1 species
AACAACCGCCUGCAGGAGAAUCAUUUCUAUAGUAUUCGACCUUCUCUUGGUUCCCUACAAGAGCCACAGAAUCCACCCUGGUUGAUGAGUGCAUAUCCCCGACGCCCUAGAGUGAAUACUCUUUCUGGUCCUCUCGCUCUGUCCGCAAGGAUGGCGGCGGUCUGCCUUGUGCGGCCGCUGUAUAGAGAGAUGGGGUCCCGACCUUUUGUUGUCGGCCCGCUUCUUCUUGAUGAUCUCGUCCCCGUCUGCGGUCUGCCUUCGGGCGCGCGGGCGGGGUGGGUGUCGGUGGACGUCUGACAGGC